UAACGAUUGAGUAACUCUUAGCAUAUUUAUUUAGUGUGUUGAUGUAAAAUAAUAAUAAAACAGGGUUAGAUAAACAGGGAAAACAGCCUUCAUGGGGUUCCUACCCCCUCUCCCUUUCUCCAGUAUCUGACAAAGCGACCGUCAGCCUCCUGGCGGCAGGACUCUCACGCUCACCAGGUUGAUCCAGAGACUUCCAGCCGCGAUUGGUGCCUCCGAGUCUGUCCGGCCCUGCUGUUGACUACAGAGGAAUUUCACCUCUGGAUCCGAGUUAAAACAUUUACGAUAAUGCCCACAAUAAAACUACAGAGCUCUGAUGGGGAAAUCUUCGAGGUGGAUGUUGAGAUAGCCAAACAGUCUGUCACAAUCAAGACCAUGUUAGAAGAUUUGGGAAUGGAUGAUGAAGGAGAUGAUGACCCAGUUCCCCUCCCUAAUGUGAACGCUGCCAUCCUCAAGAAGGUGAUUCAGUGGUGCACUCAUCACAAAGAUGAUCCUCCUCCUCCUGAGGACGAUGAGAACAAGGAGAAGAGGACAGAUGACAUUCCUGUAUGGGAUCAGGAGUUCCUCAAAGUGGACCAAGGCACCUUGUUUGAACUGAUUCUGGCUGCCAACUAUUUGGACAUCAAAGGUCUGUUAGAUGUCACCUGCAAGACGGUGGCCAACAUGAUUAAAGGCAAAACCCCAGAGGAGAUCAGGAAGACUUUCAACAUCAAAAAUGAUUUCACAGAGGAGGAAGAAGCCCAGGUACGCAAAGAGAACCAGUGGUGUGAAGAGAAGUAAAGGGGAAGAUCCUGCCAACACUCCACACUGAAAAAGAAUGGUCCCUGUUAACUGGUUGCACUGGCGUUGUUCAUACCAAUAGCAUGACCAUUUUAACUUUCUUGUGUGUUGUCAUUAAUUUAAACAAAGCUCUUUUCUGUUUCCACACACAUGGUGUGCAUUCUCAUAACAAAUAGUUCUGGUUUCAUGGCUUUGUACCCUUAAAGAUUAGAAAAUGUUUCCCUAUUAUUAAUUGCUAAGGUUGUCUUUUUUACCAGACAUGUUAUGUUUUUCUUUUAGGGUAAUUAAUGAAAUAAAAUGGCUCUUUUGACAAUGGA